rnacentral:lncRNA from 1 species
CCGUCGGAAAGCUCGAACAUCGUGCAGGUGUUCGGUGGGGUUGACGUAAAUUAUGUGUCCGGAGUCGCGAUAGCGACUUCCCGAGAAAAAGGGGGAAAUAUGUUUAUUGUUCUAACCAAAAGGGUGAGAGAGAACUGGGACAAAAGAAAGAACAGUUGGUUGCAGAUCGUCGAAGCUUGCGGAGGUGAUUCGGACGUGCUCGCUUACUACAAUAAGUCAGGCUCUGAUCGUCGAAAGAAAGUUGGUAUAAUAUCCCCGAGAAACGAGAUACCUCUCGUCUCGAUCGUCGGGCAGACACAGCAGAAAUUCCAAUGAGUGCCAGAUCUCCGACCAGCUCUCCUGUUCCUCGUCUUCUUGCUACAUCCUUGGGACUUUCUUUCCUCCUCCUUUGUGAACUGUCGCCAGUCCAUCCAACC